AUGAACGCUGGCGGCGUGCCUAAUACAUGCAAGUCGAGCGAACAGAUGAGGAGCUUGCUCCUCUGACGUUAGCGGCGGACGGGUGAGUAACACGUGGAUAACCUACCUAUAAGACUGGGAUAACUUCGGGAAACCGGAGCUAAUACCGGAUAAUAUAUUGAACCGCAUGGUUCAAUAGUGAAAGACGGUUUUGCUGUCACUUAUAGAUGGAUCCGCGCCGCAUUAGCUAGUUGGUAAGGUAACGGCUUACCAAGGCAACGAUGCGUAGCCGACCUGAGAGGGUGAUCGGCCACACUGGAACUGAGACACGGUCCAGACUCCUACGGGAGGCAGCAGUAGGGAAUCUUCCGCAAUGGGCGAAAGCCUGACGGAGCAACGCCGCGUGAGUGAUGAAGGUCUUCGGAUCGUAAAACUCUGUUAUUAGGGAAGAACAAAUGUGUAAGUAACUAUGCACGUCUUGACGGUACCUAAUCAGGAAGCCACGGCUAACUACGUG
rnacentral:rRNA from 1 species